rnacentral:rRNA from 1 species
UACAGAGGUGGCAAGCGUUGUUCGGAAUUACUGGGCGUAAAGGGCGCGUAGGCGGCCAUCUAAGUCAGACGUGAAAUCCCCCGGCUUAACCUGGGAACUGCGUCUGAUACUGGACGGCUUGAGUAUGGGAGAGGGAUGUAGAAUUCCAGGUGUAGCGGUGAAAUGCGUAGAUAUCGGGAGGAACACCAGUGGCGAAGGCGGCUACCUGGCACAUAACUGACGCUGAUACGCGAAAGCGUGGGGAGCGAACCGG